ACUCACUUAACUUUCCCUGAGCUUCAUGAGCUCUGCCUUCCAGUUUAAGCCCUGGAAAUACAUAACGAAGCACAAAAGCCAGCUUUGCUUUAUGAGCUCCAUGGAAAAGACACACAAUAAAAUGGUCAUAUUUUAAUGUGAAAAAUGUUAAUGACAAGUAAAGCCAAGUGUGUCAAGGGGACAUAGUAAAGGGGCCUAAUGUGGCUUGGAGAGUCAGGGAGGGCUCGUGCUUUGUACAACGGCUUUGUAUCUAAACUCUCAUACAAAGGGUGAGAAGUUGGCCAGGCAAAGAUGGGGAAUUUGUGGAAGGGGUCAUGAAAGAUUUGAGGGCUGGAAGAAAUUUCACUCUGGCUAGGGCAUAGAGCGCGAACUAGGUUCUCAGACCCGAAGCCAGAGGAAUGAGUAGAAACUACAUCACGGGACCUUGGAAACCAACGUUAAGAAGCUGCCAAAGCACCUUGAGGAGAAAGACUUGAUUAGUAUUAUAUUGAAACAUGAAUUAUUUGGGAAAUGUCAAGGUGUCUGAAAAGUGGAAUGAGUUAAAAUUGAGGAAGGAAGCAUUCUAGGCGCGUCUCUUUGGCUCCAGUAAAGACAAUACAAACCAUGGCCAGAACAGCUAAAAUGAAAACUCUCCCAUUUCUCAGAGUGAGAGAAAACAUCAUGGGACCACAGGGGCUGAAAAACCCAUUCUUUUACUCACGUGUUGGAGGCGCCCAUUGCUACUGCCACAAUGCCUGCAAGGCCUCCCACUACACCAGCGACAGGGUCUCACUAUGUUUUCCAUGCUGAUCUCAAACUCCUGGGCCCAAGUGAUCUUCUUGCUUCAGCCUCCCAAAGUGCAGGUGUGUCCGGAAUUGGUGGGUUCUUGGUCUCACUGACUUCAAGAAUGAAGCCGCGGACCCUCGAGAUCCUGCCUGUUGCAUGGAGUAAUGAAGAACAGAGAACACACAUAGCAGCAGAUGGAGUAGAGACAUCCUUAAAAGAGGGGGAAAAACCCGGUUUUUAACAAUUGCAAUUAUUUUGCACCUCUCCCAGAGUGACUGGUUUGUCAUCUCCCAGGAACAAGCAGCGACAAUAGCCUUCCUCCUUGCAGAGCCUCUGUCACUCAGUUUAACCCCACAAAUGACCUCACAAACAACUCAUCUCAUUAUUCUUCUCUAAUGAGAAGUACACUGAUGAUGAUGAUCAUCAUCAUCAUUUUGAUGUCAGUCUAGUACUUACCUCUUCUUAGAUACAAACACUAAAAGUAAUAAUCCUUCACAACUUAUAACUUUUUUUUCAGCAUUUGAGUCUCACGAUCUUAUUAAACUAUUAUCUCAGUUUUGCUAAGUACGGUGUUUCCCAAAGUAUGAUCUAUAGAGAACCUACAUCAGCAACAUUUGGGAUGCUCGUUAAAGUACAGAUUCCUAGAUCUUACAUAAUUAACAUUUCUGAAGAUGACAAACAUGAAUUUUAAACAAAUUCCUCACAUAAUCUUUAUUCAUACUCACGAUUGAUAGCUACUAGAACAGUACAUUCAGAUCUCAAUGUGCUUACAUCCUCCCAUGGCUUCUCCCUCAACCAUGAGAAUAAAUUUAUUAUAUGUAAUUUGCAGCGAUAAAUCCACAAUACACCUGGGUAUGUUUUGGAUUGUUAGAAGUUCUGAAGCACACUCUUUCUCAUCUAGGUUUUGUUUUCUUAAUUUAAUUUGUUUUCCAAGUCAAUAUAUUUUUCCUAACUAAAUUUCUUGAACUUUAGCCAUGUGCUAGAAAGUUUUUUGAAAUAAAUUGUAUUCUCCAUUCUGGCAAACAAUGGCACUGUAUUUCUGUGUUUCUGGAAGAAGACAGAAAAUUAUUUGAGGGACUAUUUUCUCUAUUCUCUUAUCUUAGAUGCAUAAAAGUGAGGUUACUUUAUUAUGUAUGAUGAAUGCCUUAAGGCAGCGGUUUUCAAACUUUUUGGUUUCAGAACCUUUUUAUACUUUUAAAAAUUAGUGAGGAUUCAAAGAGCUUUAGCUUACAUGGCUUACAGCCAUCAAUAUUUACCCUAUUAGAGCUUAAAAUAAUUCUAUUACCUAUUUCCAUAUUGUAAAACUCAUUAAAAUUUAUGUUAUUCUCAGAACAGAUCAGAAAGACCGAUGUCAUAUGUGUGCACAUAUAUAUUAUAUAUAUUUAUAUAUAUAAUUGUUUCUUAGCUGCUGAUAAAUUUGUGAUCUAAAAAUUGUGUCAUGUUCAUCUUUGCAAUUCUUAUAAAAUAUGCACUCAAUGAAUAUUUGCUAAGCUGAAUUGAAACAGCUGAAAUAACAGUAAACUGGUUGAAAAAGAAAUUACUUCCUCUAAAAAUUGUAGUUGCCUACACUUCCUGCUUAAAUUUAAAAAAAUACAUCUAGUGGCAUACUAUUGGAGAGAAGAUUUUAAACAUCAUUCAGAUCACAGGCUAAUACAUUAUCUUCUGUUGACAGCACUGAAGACUUGCUCUAAAGAGUCUUCAAAUGCUCAACAGCAAAGAGAUAGAUUAUGUAUAAAGCAGAAUCUUCCUUUAUGAUCUUUGACAUUUUUGAAAAAUUAAUGACAAGUAUACUAUCAAUGUGUAACUUUCAACUAUCAAUUUGCUAUCAACGUGCAAUUUUAUCCUCCUUAAGCCCGUAUGCCAAUGAAGAUGAAUAUCAGUUCUAAAUGUGCAGCAGAUAGAUGGGUAUAAUUAGAAAAGUUCUGAACUGGAACAUUUAGAUUUGAGUUUCAGCACCAAUACUAUCUGGCUGUGUGAUAUUUUAGAGUCAGCAACCCUGAACUUUAAAUUUUUAUCUUUCCAAUUAAGAGGUUGAAUUAUUAUAAUUCUGAAACAAGGUUGUGGUAAAAUGUCAAAAACUGGAGACUAUCUCUAGCAGGUUAUUUUAAUUUUAGGAAUUAUCAAAAAGUCUCAAGAGGACACCCUAAAUACUCUCCUCACAUUCCUAUGAUACUAUUUCCCUGAAUACAGUUAGAACUUUUAUUGGGUUAAAAUGAUAAGCCCUUUACUUUUAGCUGUAUAGCAAAAUAUUUUUACAUGCACAAUUUUUGGAGGCAACAGCAGGAAAUUUAUAAACAUUUCUCUUUGUUGAACAGUUUUUACCCUCUAGAUCAGGAGAAAAGGCAAAUAUUGUCCAGAUUGUAUUUUAAACAUGUUCAUUCUUAACUAAAUUUGAUAGUGUGGGCAUUUGGGAAAGUUCUUUCCAGUAUCUCAGUUCUCAAAGGACAAAAAUUCUGCCCAUGUUCUUUAGAAAUAAAACUUUGCAAAGAUAGUUUUAUUUUUACUUACCAAUAUGUUAUUUUUCACAUGGUAUUAACCCAUUGACAGACAAUUUACAUAGUAAAAUAAUUUACACGAAAAUAUAAUGUUUUCUAAUUUUAAAUGCAUAAAAAUCACAGGUAACUGUUCAGAAAAGGAUUAUUAUAAUUGUCACUUGCACACCCCAACCUUCAUAUCUUCUUGAGUUAAUGUAUACCAUAACUUGACUGUAAGAUUUUUUACCAAAGAGGCCAAACCUAUUUGUCGCUAGAUAAUCUAUACAACUCUUCAACAUUAUUAUGACGUAGUAUGUGUUCAAUAAAUAUCUAUGUGGUAAUGAUAGUAGAAAAAAUGAAAUUAAUGAGAGAUUAGAAAACAAAAAGUCACUAUCCAAAAUAUGUUAGAGUUAAAAAGAAAGUCUAUAAAAUUUAAUAAAGCUAAUGAUAGAAAUUAACAACAAAACUUUAAUAUUUUUCUUAUCUUCAUGAAUUGCCAAAAAGUACUUUUAGGUGGAAAUAACUUUCUGUGCAUUUGAGAUUUAUACAGAUUCUAUUUCUGUUUCUUUGUUUCUGUCACCACAUGAAUUAUUCACAAUAUUUCCCAGAAUGUCUAUUGUCCCACAUUGUCUAUUGUUUCUGUCUUUAUGUUCACAUGUACCCAAUGUUUAGCUGCCACUUAUAAGUGAAAACAUGCAGUAUUUGGUUUUGUUUCUGUAUUAAUUUGCCUUAGAUAAUGGCCUCUAGCUGCACCCAUGUUGCUGCAAGGGACAUUAUUUCAUUCUUUUUUUAUGUCUGCAUAGAAUUUUAUAGCACGUAUGUAACACCAUUGAUAGACACCUGGGUUGAUUCCAUGUCUUUGCUAUUAUGAUGAGUGCUGCACUAAACAUAUGAGUGCAGGUGUCUUUUUGGUAGAACAGUUUAUUUUCCUUUAGGUAUAUACCCAGUAAUCCCACAUAUACAGAAUAUAUACCCAGUAAUGGGAUUGCUGGCUGGAAUGGUAAUUCUAUUUUUAGUUCUUUGAGAAAUCUUAAUCUGCUUUCCAUAGUGGCUGAACUAAUUUGCAUUCCCACCAACAAUGUAUACACUUUUCCUUUUCUCUGCAACCUCACCAACAUCUGUUAUUUUUAGACUUUUUAAAUAAAGAUCAUUUUGACUGGUGUGAGAUGGUUUCUCAUCGUAGUUUUGAUUUGCAUUUCUAGAAUGAUUAGUAAUGUUGAGCAUUUUUUCAUAUACUUGUUGGCUGCUUGUAUGUCUUUUUUUGAGAAGUGCCUGUUCAUGUUCUUUGUCAAUACAAAGACUGUAAAAAAAUAUCUCUGGGAAGGGUGAUACAGCCAACAAUUUCCCAACAAUUUCUUAGGGACCUAGCAGAUGUGGGACUGGAACCCUGAAGCUCCCAGGUAACUGGUUGAGACAAGGCAGAUGAGAGAGCCUCUGAAAAGGAGAAGGAUUUUUUUUAAGAGAUGAGAGAGAGAGAGGAUAUAAAGUAAACUUUAUUAAUUUAAUUGUUUUACCUACAACUAUAUCUGAUUAGGCAUUUGGAAAUUUGGACGUUUCUAGAGAAUUAAGUCAGCACCAAGGGUCCCGCAUCUUUGGGCAUUAAAUCAUACUGUCAGUUCUCAUACAAUUUCCAUGGUUAGUUUCCGUUAGCUAUUAAAUUUAGAAAAUAAUAUCACUGCUGGGUGCAAUGGCUCAUGCCUGUAAUCCCUACAGUUUGGAAGGCUGAGGUGGUUGUAUUGCUUGAGCUCAGGAGUUCAAGACCAGCCUGGGCACCAUGGCAAGACCACAUCUCUAGAAAAAAUACAAAAAUUAGCCAGGCGUGGUGGUGCAUACCUGUAGUCCCAGGUACUUGGGAGGCUGAGGUGGGAGGAUGACUUCAGCCUGGGAGGUGGAGUUUGCAGUGAGCCGAGAUAGUGCUACUGGACUCCAGCCUGGGUGACACAGUGAGACCCUGCCUGGAAAAAAAAAAAAAAAGAAGAAGAAGAAAACUACUUAUAUAAUUACUUGAUACACAAUAAUAUACAUUCAAACAUUUACUACAAACAUUUAAGAAAGAGCUGCUAUUAAAAUAGUUAUCUAAAAAGAAUUAUCCUGAUACUAAAGCAAAACAAGACACAUCAGGAAAACAAAACUACAGAGCAAUAGAUCUAUAAAUAUUGAUGCAAAAAUGUGCACAAAAUACUGACAAACUAAAUUCAGCAGUACAGCCAAAGGAUUACACAACAUGAUCAAGUGGGAUUCAUUCCUGGACGGCAACAAUAGUUCAACAUACUAAAACUAAUCAGUAUAAUAUGAAACAUAAAUAAAAUGAAGACAAAAGUAAGUAUUGUUAUUCAUUUAAAAAGCAUUUGACAAAAUUUAAUUCCCUUUUAUUAAAAAAUUUAAAAAUCUAGGAAUAGAAGGAAACUACUUCAGCAUAACAAAGGCUAUACAUGAAAAGCUUAUAGUUAACAUCAUACUGAGUGAUGAGAGACUGAAAGCUUUUUUGCUAACAUCAGGAACAAAGCAAAGAUGCCCACACUUGCCACUUCUAUUCAACAUAGUAUUGGAAGACCUAAUCAGAGAAGUUAGGCAAGAAAAAUAAAUAAAAAGCAUCUAAAUUGGAAAGGAAGAAUAAAAUUAUCUCAUAAGAUGACAUGGUCUUACAUGUGGAGCACCCUAAAAAUAGAACACACACAUAAUAAAAUCUGAUAGAACUAACAAAUAAAUUCAGUAAACUUUCAAAACACGAAAUGAACAUGCAAAAAAACAAUUAAAUUUAUAUACACCAAAAAUGAACAAUACCAAAAGGAAAUUAAGAAAACAAUUCCAUUUAAAUGGUAUCAAAAAGAAUACUCAGGAAUAAACUUAGCCAAGAAGACAAAAGACUGUACACUGAAAACUACAAAAAGAUUCUGAAAAAAAUUAAAGAAGAUGCACAUAAGUGGAAAGAUAUCCACAGGAAACUUCUCCAGGCAGCCUUGAACCAACCCAGUUCUUCCACUAUUCUCACUUGUAGUUCUCAAGAAUAACUGUAGAAUGUACUGGGAAUGCAACACACGAAUAUAGGAGGAAGUGACUGGAAGGCUCUGUUCCAGUCUCCUCUAGACACAGGAUGUCCUUCAAUGUUUUAGCCUCACAAAUUCUAUUACCCUUAGAGUGUAAAACCAAAGAUGAACUACUCUCCUGGGCCUCUCAGCUGCGGUACAAAUGGAUUAUGUUCUGACAAGAUUCCAUCUUCCCCCAGGCAGCUUUCCUGAGCCUUGGAGCCUGGGUUGUAAUGACUCCCAGGUUUCCGUUGUCCCUUCCUGCCUAUUUGUAAGUAAUAAUAAGCCUGCCUCGUGUAACUUGUUAUGUGUAUGGGUGUUCUGUCUCACUGGACUCAGACAAGUUGGUAACAAGUGCAUAGUGAAUUUGCUUCACAAUAUCAGUAUUUAUGGAUUGGCCAACAAUAUUUCUGAGAUGUCAGUAAUACUCAAAGUGAUCUAUAGAUUCAGCGCAAUCCCUAUCAAAAUCUCAAUGAUGUUUGUGGCAGAAAUAGAAAAAUUCAUCCUAAAAUUCAUGUAAAAUCUCAAGGGACUCUGAAUAGUCAAAACAGCCUUCAAAAAGAACAAAGUUGAAGGCAUCUCAUUUCCUGAUUUCAAAACUUACAAAGCUACAAUAAUCAAAACAACGUGGUACUGGCAUCAUGACGGACAUAUAGACCAAAGGAAAAGAAUAGAGUUCAGGAAUAAGCUCUCACACAGAUGAGCAAAUGAUUUCCAACAAGGGUGCCAAGACCAUUUAAUGGGAUAAGGACAAUCUUUCAACAAAUGAUAUUGGGAAAACUGGAUACUCAUAUAUGAAAUAAUGAAGUUGAACCCUUACCCCUGCAUAAAAUUAAAAUGUAACACCAUAUAAAACAAACUAAAUAUAAGAGCUAGAAUGCUAUAAAACUUCAAAGAAAACACGGGAAAAGUUUCAUGACAUUAGAUUUGGCUAUAAUAUAUAUACAUUUUUGGAUUACACCAAAAGCACAGGCAGCAACGACAAAAAAUAGAUAAAUUGUAUUUCAUAAAAAUUUUUGUCCAUCAAAGAAC
rnacentral:lncRNA from 1 species